GACGAACGCUGGCGGCGUGCCUAAUACAUGCAAGUUGAGCGCUGAAGGUUGGUACUUGUACCAACUGGAUGAGCAGCGAACGGGUGAGUAACGCGUGGGGAAUCUGCCUUUGAGCGGGGGACAACAUUUGGAAACGAAUGCUAAUACCGCAUAAAAACUUUAAACACAAGUUUUAAGUUUGAAAGAUGCCAUUGCAUCACUCAAAGAUGAUCCCGCGUUGUAUUAGCUAGUUGGGGAGGUAAAGGCUCACCAAGGCGAUGAUACAUAGCCGACCUGGGAGGGUGGUCCGCCACAUUGGGACUGAGACACGGCCCAAACUCCUACGGGAGGCAGCAGUAGGGGAUCUUCGGCCAUGGACGAAAGUCUGACCGAGCAACGCCGCGGGAGUGAAGAAGGUUUUCGGGUCGUAAAACUCUGUUGGUAGAGAAGAACGUUGGUGAGAGUGGAAAGCUCAUCAAGUGACGGUAACUACACAAAAAGGGACGGCUAACUACGUG
rnacentral:rRNA from 1 species